UGGGGAAUAUUGCGCAAUGGGCGAAAGCCUGACGCAGCGACGCCGCGUGAGGGAUGAAGGUUUUCGGAUCGUAAACCUCUGUCAGAAGGGAAGAAACCGCACUGUGCUAAUCAGCAGUGCCUUGACGGUACCUUCAAAGGAAGCACCGGCUAACUCCGUGCCAGCAGCCGCGGUAAUACGGAGGGUGCAAGCGUUAAUCGGAAUUACUGGGCGUAAAGCGCACGUAGGCUGCUUUGUAAGUCAGGGGUGAAAUCCCACGGCUCAACCGUGGAACUGCCUUUGAUACUGCUUAGCUUGAAUCCGGGAGAGGGUGGCGGAAUUCCAGGUGUAGGAGUGAAAUCCGUAGAUAUCUGGAGGAACAUCAGUGGCGAAGGCGGCCACCUGGACCGGUAUUGACGCUGAGGUGCGAAAGCAUGGGGAGCAAACAGG
rnacentral:rRNA from 1 species